AGGUGUGUGUUCAUCUCCGUGCUGCGGGUUCUUUCAGCAUGCUGGCAUAACCUCGAACGCUGGGUGUGCCCAGAAGGUUCGGGUUUGUUUCAUUUCCGUCACACGGUUCUUGGUACAAGUCACAAGCAGGAAGCCAAAGUCUGAGGCAUUAACUACCAAGGCCGAGUGGCUGGAAAGGUUCCCCACGUCAGCUCCCCUCCAGGUAAUCCCUUGACAAACAACCCCUGUUGACUGGCCUAGAGAAAAGCAGCACUUUGUAACCUAACUGGACAAACACCCUCCUCCAGAACUCUCCACGUUCACGGGAACACGAGGAAUGCCAAUGGUUUUAAAAUGGAGCCUCUGCUCGUCAUCCGCGCUUAUGUCAAUACCUGCCAUGUGACCGAACUCAAAAACGAAGUUUGCUGGUUGUCACAGCAUCUAAUUCUGUGACCCAGUUCUGAUUCUGGGAACUGUGUCCACUAAUACAUAUUUUUCCUAUACUCACCCAUCGAGGUAUACGUGGCACCACAGUUUUCCACGACUCAGCCAAUUAGAUGGUCACCAAGUAUUUGCUCAACCGCGACUGCACCGUAAGGUACAGAGAGACCUGUUUUCAUUCAGCUUGAACAGCUCAAGGGCUGGCACAGCUGCGGAUGUCACUGGCACUACAGCUGCUGGACACAGGCCAUGUGUGCCCAGGAACACCAAGUAAUAUUGCUGCCUGGCUGAAGCCAAAGAAAAAGAAUAAUCCUCUAAACAGACACUUAAUGAAACAAUCCCCCACUGUAUUUAUCUUUACAUACCUCAUCCUCAUCCUAGCCCCCACUGUGAUAUUUGGUUUUAUUGCAAAAUGAGAAAAAGACUUAGGUAGAGACCGAAUGGCUAA